GGCACCAUGGCUUAGCUGGCUAAAGCACCUGCCUUGUAAACAGGAGAUCCUGGGUUCAGCUCCCAGUGGUGCCU
rfam:Pelodiscus sinensis unplaced genomic scaffold scaffold1681, whole genome shotgun sequence.